UACAGAGGUCUCAAGCGUUGUUCGGAUUCAUUGGGCGUAAAGGGUGCGUAGGCGGCGCGGUAAGUCGGGGUGUGAAAUCUUGGAGCUUAACUCCGAAACUGCAUUCGAUACUGCCGUGCUUGAGGACUGGAGAGGAGACUGGAAUUUACGGUGUAGCGGUGAAAUGCGUAGAUAUCGUAAGGAAGACCAGUGGCGAAGGCGGGUCACCUGGACAGUUCCGUGGACGCUGAGGCACGAAGGUCAGGGGAGCAAACGGG
rnacentral:rRNA from 1 species